CUGACAUCUUAACCAAUUUUAAACAUACUGCACAUCAUGUUAUCUGUAACUUGAGCCUUGGAUCAAAACAGGCAAAGUGUAUUAUUCCUAACAACGGGAAUAUUAUUAUUAUAAUUCACAACGUAAACACAUAUAAUCAAAAAUGGGAAUAAAAUCUAUUUCCCCUCUUUGGACCAGGGUCUUGGAUUACCAGUCCACCCAGUGAACUUGGGCCAGGUCAAAAAUCCCAGUGGCAAAAACUCAUAAUUGAGAAAAAAAAGCACAUCUGGGUAAAUUCUAAGUGAGGGCCAUGACUGUGUAAACAUGUCAUCCCCUCACGUUGACAGCAUUAGUGACUUAUAAAACCUGCACUAUGUAAGUAAAUAGCUCAGGUAUCGGGAUUGGGAAACACUUCUUGAUUAGUUUGAAAAGGCCACUUACAUAUUAAAUCAUAAGAUCAUUUCUAAUCAGUUUGCAAUUCUAGCAAUAAUCCCAAUCAUGACCUUGCGUCCUAUGCCUCCUAAUCAAAUCCCUAUUUCGAUAGUCCAGUCAUAUCCACACUUAAUACAUUGGAAUCCAUCCUUGGUACACUCAACAUACAUCAAUGACACACAUAGUACAUCCAUGCCUGAGUAAGCUAACACUUCCUCUCUCUCCGGC
rnacentral:lncRNA from 1 species